GAUGAAGAACGCAGUGAAAUGCGAUACUUGGUGUGAAUUGCAGAAUCCCGUGAACCAUCGAGUCUUUGAACGCAAGUUGCGCCCGAAGCCAUCAGGUUGAGGGCACGUCUGCCUGGGCGUCACAUAUCGUUGCCCAAUGCCUAUUGCAGUGCAAUAGGAAUUUCUAGGGCGAAUGAUGGCUUCCCGUGAGCGUUGUUGCCUCGCGGUUGGUUGAAAAUCGAGUCCUUGGUAGGGUGUGCCAUGGUAGAUGGUGGUCGAGUUAGAACGAUACCGAUCAUGUGCAUGCUCCCCAAAAUAUGGCCUCUAUGACCCACACGCGUCUUUUGACGCUCAUGACGAGACCUCAGGUCAGGCGGGGCUACCCGCUGAAUUUAAGCAUAUCAAAAGCGGAGGA
rnacentral:misc_RNA from 1 species